rnacentral:ncRNA from 1 species
AGAUAGAGGCGCGGGGUUCAUCAGUAAGCUCCUGCUGGAAAGCAGCUUUUGCGGGAGACGAAAGGGGACGCCGCCGAAGCGGGGAAGACACAGCUGCGUGUCGCACCGCUGGGCCGUCGGAUAAGAUCCGCCGGACUGUCACGCGAGUGGAGCGCUAUCGA